GAUGAACGCUGGCGGCGUGCCUAAUACAUGCCAGUCGAGCGAACAGACGAGGAGCUUGCUCCUCUGACGUUAGCGGCGGACGGGUGAGUAACACGUGGAUAACCUACCUAUAAGACUGGGAUAACUUCGGGAAACCGGAGCUAAUACCGGAUAACAUGUUGAACCGCAUGGUUCAACAGUGAAAGACGGUCUUGCUGUCACUUAUAGAUGGAUCCGCGCCGCAUUAGCUAGUUGGUAAGGUAACGGCUUACCAAGGCAACGAUGCGUAGCCGACCUGAGAGGGUGAUCGGCCACACUGGAACUGAGACACGGUCCAGACUCCUACGGGAGGUAGCAGUAGGGAAUCUUCCGCAAUGGGCGAAAGCCUGACGGAGCAACGCCGCGUGAGUGAAGAAGGUCUUCGGAUCGUAAAACUCUGUUAUUAGGGAAGAACAAAUGUGUAAGUAACUAUGCACGUCUUGACGGUACCUAAUCAGAAAGCCACGGCUAACUACGUG
rnacentral:rRNA from 1 species